CUUUGUCAUCUUGUAGAGAGCCAGGCUGAGCCAUAUAGAUUCAACCCCGUUAUUAGAAGCUGGGGAAAAAAAAAAAAAGGAUGAAGACCUGGUUAUACCAUUGCUACCUCUGACAGCUAAGGAACCAGUUUGGCGUCUGGUUUGUGUGUUGUUUUACUGCUGACCUUCAAAUCAACUUUAACCCUUGACUUCUUCAAGCAUAUAUCAUGACAAGAGCCUGUUUAACACAAAUGGUGCCCAAUCGAAAGGGGAAAGAGAGUGAAGAUUUCCUUUUUUUUUAUGAAGAAUUCGGUUUUAGCCCCUCUUUUCUCAUUCACCACAGGUGAAAUCCUUCCUAGCAGCUGGCUUAUGAAAUAUUGUGAUGGGAGGUCUUAAUAAGCUGAAAGCACCCUCAGCUGGAGACAAAUGUAUGCAAAUGAGAUGCACAAACAAAGGAGCUUGGACAGAGAAAUAUCUGCAAUUCCAGCUAAAUGCUGCCUGCAGCAGGAAGAUGAACAGCUUUGAUAAAAUGGUAUCAAUGGCCUUCUGGAAAUGUACUGCGAGACAAUAAAGUAGCACAGAGAAGUGUAAGCUGCUUGUGCUGUAGGUUUUGACGGUGUCACCUGUUUGUGGGAGGAUUAUUACACCAUUAGACAUGUGGUUGGAUAGUAAUGUUAAAAUGUAGCUGGCACCUUAUUAUUUUUCAUCAUGUUUAUAUACAUUAAAAGGAGUAGUAUCAAAUACAGCAAAGAAGUACAGAAA